rnacentral:rRNA from 1 species
CGUGUAGGCGGGCGAACAAGUCAGAUGUAAAAGUCCACGGCUCAACCAUGGUUUGUCAUCUGAAACUGUUCGUCUUGAGUUCGAGAGAGGGUAGUGGAAUUCCAGGUGUAGCGGUGAAAUGCGUAGAUAUCUGGAAGAACACCGGAUGCGAAGGCGGCUACCUGGCUCGUAACUGACGCUGAGGCGCGAAAGCGUGGGGAGCAAACA